rnacentral:rRNA from 1 species
GAUGAACGCUAGCGGGAGGCCUAACACAUGCAAGCCGAGCGGUAGAGAUUCUUCGGAAUCUUGAGAGCGGCGUACGGGUGCGGAACACGUGUGCAACCUACCUUUAUCUGGAGGAUAGCCUUUCGAAAGGAAGAUUAAUACUCCAUAAUAUAUUGAUUGGCAUCAAUUGAUAUUGAAAGCUCCGGCGGAUAGAGAUGGGCACGCGCAAGAUUAGUUAGUUGGUGAGGUAACGGCUCACCAAGACGAUGAUCUUUAGGGGGCCUGAGAGGGUGAUCCCCACACUGGUACUGAGACACGGACCAGACUCCUACGGGAGGCAGCAGUGAGGAAUAUUGGUCAAUGGGUGCAAGCCUGAACCAGCCAUCCCGCGUGAAGGACGACUGCCCUAUGGGUUGUAAACUUCUUUUGUAUAGGGAUAAACCUACCCUCGUGAGGGUAGCUGAAGGUACUAUACGAAUAAGCACCGGCUAACUCCGUGCCAGCAGCCGCGGUAAU